rnacentral:rRNA from 1 species
CCUACGGGGGACUGCAGUGAGGAAUAUUGGUCAAUGGGCGGGAGCCUGAACCAGCCAAGUCGCGUGAGGGAAGACGGUCCUAUGGAUUGUAAACCUCUUUAGGCGGGGAGCAAGGCCGGGCACGUGUGCCCGGAGGGAGAGGACCCGCAGAAUAAGCAGCGGCGAACUCCGUGCCAGCAGCCUCGGUAAUACGGAGGAUGCGAGCGUUAUCCGGAUUUAUUGGGUUUAAAGGGUGCGCAGGCGGCGUGUCAAGUCAGCGGUAACAUGUCGGGGCUCAACCCCGGCCGGCCGUUGAAACUGGCGUGCUCGAGUUGGAGAGACGUAUGCUGAAUUCGUGGUGUAGCGGUGAUAUGCAUAGAUAUCACGAAGAACCCCGAUUGCGAAGGCAGCAUACCGGCUCCACCCUGACGCUGAGGCACGAAAGCGUGGGUAUCGAACAGGAUUAGAUACCCUUGUAGUC